CAGGCCAAGGCCACCUGGGGCACAGCCCCAGGAGUUGGGCAGGGAAGCCUUCACUGUCUCUCUCCUCUGCUCAGUGUUGUACCCACGGGCCCCUGGGAGGUUUCUGUGGGUAUGGCUGUUCUUUGGGGGUGUCUCUGACCUGUAGCUUGUCACGGGCAGAGGCAGGGUCCUAGCUUCCUUCUGAGAAGACAGUCAGUGCACGUGAGGAGAGCCUGGUGAGGGGAAGGUGACAGCAUGGGCAGCGUGUGGCUGAGCAGCUGUGAAGCUGACGACGUGUGAUCUCUGACAGAGCAGCCCAGGGUUUAGCGCUAAUCCCAGGCAGUUGUGCCACACUGGCCUUGCUGAGCUGUGGACUUCUCACCUCAGGGACACCACUGCCACCCCCUUGGAGGGAGAGGGCUGGCCAGGGCAGUGUGCGGGGUGUGUGUGUGUCUGCUCUGGCACAAGGGCAGCAGGCUGGGCCUGGGGGACACCUCCCACCUCCCUUUGCUGUGUCCCGGACGAGGGGUGAGAAUGCCCUCUUUUUAUUGUAUCCAGGUUCCUUCACCACCCCCCCCUUGCCUGAUCACAUCCUGCUGUUUUUCUCCCCUUCCUGUGCCCUGUGCUCUCCCCUCCUUCCCUAGCUGGGAUUGUGGAAUUCCCGUGUGUGCUGUGAACCCUGUAUUUUACAAAUGGGGCUGCUUGGAGAAAGGAGAGUGACGCGCUCAAGUGAACGACAGAGCUGGAACUGACCGCUGGGGGCUCCCGAUUCCGAGCUUAGGGGUUGGGGGCGGCAUCCCUGAGUGAGAAGGCCCAUCCCUGGGUUAUUCCUCUUGCCCUGUCCUCCUUGAUUUCCCACCACUGUUUGAGAUGCUGGUGCAGAAUAGGACCUCUGCCUGUGAAGGAAUGAACCUUCACAUACACACCCCCAUUUGGCAUAUGGCUUCUGGGACCAGAACCCAAAACCCCCAUGUUACUGCCUUGCUCCUGACCCUUCUUCCCCAGUGGCCUUGUUAGACAGCCUUUCAUUGCUGGGGACAGCCUUCCAGGAACCUGCAGCUGCUCCCCAGCCAGCUGGGCUCAGCUUUCCCGGCCUGAACCUGAUGGUGGGGGUGGGCUCAGAGAGUCAACUGGAAUAUGUAUCUAUGGAGAACAAUCCAAAUGGGCAGAGCAGACGGAUCAGAGGUGAGGGCCGUGACUUUUGGACUGGCAUUUGGAUUCAAGUCUGGGUGGUGGUAGGGGUGUACUGAGAGAUCCAGUGGAGGGAAGGGCUGUGCCUCCAGCGUCAUGUAUCUGCUGGAGGGGGCAAGCCAAGGGGGUAGGCAAAGGCUUUAUAUGUUUAUUUAAUGUUUAUUUAUUUUUGAGAAGGAGACAGUACGAGUGGGGGAGGGGUAGAGAGAGAGGGAGACACAAUCUGAAGCCGGCCCCGGGCUCUGUGCUGACAGCUCCGAGCCGGAUACGGGGCUCGAACUCGAGAGCCGCGAGAUCAUGACCUGAGCUGAAGUCGGAUGCUCAAUGGACUGAGCCACCCAGCUGCCCUGGCAAAGGCUUUCUUCAUCCAACUUCCUGCCUUUGCUGUCUGUUCAACUCAGUGCUUGGAGAGCCAGAGUGUGGGAUGUGCCGGGGACUUCGAUGUUCUUGGGGGAAGAUACUGAGAUGUUUCCUAUGGAACUCUGACCCUGGCCAAGGCUGUCAAGGCUGGGGAGGAAAAAGAUUUAGAAAACUGGGGAAUGAGUGCCACCGUCGCCCCCAUCUGUCAGGCUCCAACUUGGAGUGACAGGUGGGGGGAGUGGGUGUGGGCUGAGUGCCAUGGAGUGAGGCUGGGCAUCUGGACCCCCCCAGCAGGCUCCAUUAGCCUGCAGUGUCCCUGAGGGAAAGGCUGGGGCCGCAGAUGGGUGAUCUUCCCUCACCCUUCCUGCCGCCUGUGAGUUUGACCCUGAGUUGGAAAGAGCUGUCGGGUUUUUCCGGUCCGUGUCGGGUUUUCCUCCCCUUCCAUGCAGUACAACUCCCUUUCCAGCGAAGGUGGGGGUCGCUCUCUGUUAAAGAUCCUGAGCCUUACGUGGUCUGUUGGUCUGUCUCCCGGAGAGCUCCACUGCCAGCCUGCCAUGCUGGGGAGCUCCCGCUCCUUUGAGCCCCUCCUGCAGUCCUCCUGGGCGUGGCUCCUGGAAUGACCAGAUCCUCUGAGCAUCCACCGCACGUCCAGGGCACUGAAGUAGACAUACACCCUGCAUACUCCAUGCAGCCGAUGCUGGCUGUGCCUCCUGACUUCCAGGCCUCCGAGGACAUGAGUGCGGUCCCUGUCCCAUCUCUGAUACAGGGCGGCUGUGGUCCGACAGGCCGGGGACCCGUCCCUGCUGAGGGCUGUGGUCACUGUCACCCAUUCGGAGAUCUUGGGUGUCCCAGCAAGGCCCUGUCACUUCCUGUGGCUUGUUAUUAAACACGUUGGUCAUGCAAGUU